rnacentral:rRNA from 1 species
GAUGAACGCUGGCGGCGUGCCUAAUACAUGCAAGUCGAGCGAACGGACGAGAAGCUUGCUUUUCUGAUGUUAGCGGCGGACGGGUGAGUAACACGUGGAUAACCUACCUAUAAGACUGGGAUAACUUCGGGAAACCAGAGCUAAUACCGGAUAAUAUUUUGAACCGCAUGGUUCAAAAGUGAAAGACGGUCUUGCUGUCACUUAUAGAUGGAUCCGCGCUGCAUUAGCUAGUUGGUAAGGUAACGGCUUACCAAGGCAACGAUGCAUAGCCGACCUGAGAGGGUGAUCGGCCACACUGGAACUGAGACACGGUCCAGACUCCUACGGGAGGCAGCAGUAGGGAAUCUUCCGCAAUGGGCGAAAGCCUGACGGAGCAACGCCGCGUGAGUGAUGAAGGUCUUCGGAUCGUAAAACUCUGUUAUUAGGGAAGAACAUAUGUGUAAGUAACUGUGCACAUCUUGACGGUACCUAAUCAGAAAGCCACGGCUAACUACGUG